rfam:Rattus norvegicus chromosome 3, whole genome shotgun sequence.
GGGGAUUUAGCUCAGUGGUAGAGCGCCUGCCUAGGAAGCGCAAGGCCCUGGGUUCGGUCCCCAGCUCCA